CAAUAGCGUAUACUAAUAUUGUUGCAGUUAAAAAGCUCGUAGUUGGAUUUCUGGCUGAUGUGCGCGUCGCCCGGUCAAUGUGCCCAUGUGCCUUUGACGCGCGUGCAGAUGCGCACCAGCCAUCCUUCUGGUGCAUGUUUCCUUUGGAUUCAUGAUUUCCAGAUCGAUUACUUUGAAGAAAUUAGAGUGUUCAAAGCAGGCUUACGCCGUUGAAUAUGCUAGCAUGGAAUAAUAAGAUAGGACCUUGGUACUAUUUUGUUGGUUUGCGCACCGAGGUAAUGAUUAAUAGGGACAGUUGGGGGUAUUCGUAUUGCAUUGUCAGAGGUGAAAUUCUUGGAUUUUUGCAAGACGAACGACUGCGAAANCANNNACCAAGGAUGUUUUCAUNAA
rnacentral:rRNA from 1 species